CGGCGUGCCUAAUACAUGCAAGUCGAACGGGUCUUUCUAUGGAAGCUUGCUUCCACUGAGAAGAUAGUGGCGAACGGGUGAGUAACAACGUGGGUAACCUGCCCAUAAGAGGGGGAUAACAUCCGGAAACGGGUGCUAAUACCGCAUAGUUUUUCUUGAUCGCAUGAUUGGGAAAGGAAAGACGGCCUUUGUGCUGUCGCUUAUGGAUGGACCCGCGGCGUAUUAGUUAGUUGGUAAGGUAACGGCUCACCAAGACGAUGAUACGUAGCCGACCUGAGAGGGUGAUCGGCCACAUUGGGACUGAGACACGGCCCAAACUCCUACGGGAGGCAGCAGUAGGGAAUCUUCCGCAAUGGACGAAAGUCUGACGGAGCAACGCCGCGUGAGUGAAAGAAGGUUUUCGGAUCGUAAAACUCUGUUGUCAGAGAAGAACAAGUUGGAGAGUAACUGCUCCAGCCUUGACGGUAUCUGACCAGAAAGCCACGGCUAACUACGUGCCAGCCGCGGC
rnacentral:rRNA from 1 species